rnacentral:misc_RNA from 1 species
UCCGAGUUGACCCCGGCAGUCUUCCUAGAGUCCCCGACUUGACUCGCUGGCAACUAGGAACGGGGGUUGCGCUCGUUGCGGGACUUAACCCAACAUCUCACGACACGAGCUGACGACAGCCAUGCAGCACCUGUGCAUGGACUCCGAAGAGGGGCCCUGGUUUCUCAGGGCUUUCCCAUGCAUGUCAAGCCUAGGUAAGGUUCUUCGCGUUGCGUCGAAUUAAACCACAUGCUCCACCGCUUGUGCGGGCCCCCGUCAAUUCCUUUGAGUUUCAGCCUUGCGGCCGUACUCCCCAGGCGGGGCACUUAAUGCGUUAGCGCCGGCACUCAGAGGGUCGCUCCCCCAAGCACCUAGUGCCCAUCGUUUACGGCGUGGACUAC